GUUUCUUGGGCACAAUGAGGAAGUGGUGCACCUCUUAUCACAGGAAGUCGAUGCUUUAUCACUUCACUUAAGACACAUCAGCUCAGAGACUAUGACAGCUGAUACCUGAGAAGGGACUGUAAAAGGACUCCACCACCAUGGUUAAAUUCAGAUGGAUUCAAAUGUCUUUGUUUCUGAUCUUGCACAGAGCAGGUAGCAGAAACAUUUACAAAACAAACGUCUGUUGAAACCAGAAUUAUCCUCACACUAAAUCUUGAUUUAAAAGGUACUUUCUCUUACUUUUGUCUUGCUGUUUUUACAGCAAUUGCGACACAAUUUUAUGACCUUCAUGUCAAAAAUGGAAAAGAGGCCGUGAUGCAUUGCGGAGAUGUAAUAGACCAUCAGGGCAAAUGUGACGGUGUCCUCUGGCUAUUCCGUCGCCAAUUUCUUCUGGGAAAAGAUCAGCAGCUCAACCGUGGGCGGAUUAUUAAGAACCCUGAGGAUAAAUCGUACAGACUGAGUGUUACAGAGGACUGUUCUCUGGUUAUAAAGAAGGUCACAUUUGACGACACUGGUUUCUACACCUGCUUAAAACCAGGACAAGAUGAAGAAUAUCUAGUUGAACUGAUUGUUUUCACCACAGGAAUCAUCUUUCCAGGGUCUGGAACCGAUGCUCCAUCAAAUUUACAAGGAGUCACAGCAGGGAGAAACGAGACAGCAACAGAACAAGGAGGCACAGCAGGGAGAAACGAGACAGCGACAGAACAAGCUCGUACAGAUUGUUCUGUUGUCGACUACAUCAUGUUGGUUCUGCGUGUGGCUGAACUCGUCCUAAUUACUGUGAUUACUGUUCUUCUCAUCAGAGCUCCAGGGAACCAGAGACCGUCGGAUGACAACACUGUGCAUCAUGAUGGAGGCAGACAUGACAGCGCGGCAAACUAUGAAAACAUCGGAGGACCUUCUGCUCCCGUCAGAAUCAACACCAACAUCAACUAACCAGAGCAUCGAGUCUUCGCUGCUGUUAAACAUUUCUUCACAGCAUUACUGUACAUGAUUGAAACAAAUCUCAUGAAGGUUUUAGAUAAGGUCCUUUAGUAUUGUGAUGUGGAGAAAUGUGUUGAGUCACAGCCAGCUAUACAAGUGUUAAUUUUAUAUAGUUUAAGAAGCUUUUUGUACAAUUAGAGCACUUAGUCUUUUCUGGCAACACUUUCUUUGCUUUAUGCAGUCACUGAACAUUAGAGGUGUAUGAAUCAUGACUCAUCCGGAUCUUUAAACCGGGUAUUUAAAAUAACCUGUGAGUCGCGAAUCUCUAGUAUCACUAACUCAAAUCACUUGAGCCCUACUAUAAUCAGAUCUAAAAUGAUAAUUAGCGUAAUGCAGAGCUGGUUACAUAGCAAGCUCAUAGCCCACUAGCCCCGGGCUUGCUACGAGCUUGCUACAAACUUGCUACGAGUGUUUCCUGCAUCGGCUUGCAGGCUAGCUUGUGAGCCUCGAUGCCGGAAACACGGCCGACUCGUGGCGUUUCCUGCAAACGCGGCUCGCAAGCUACGAGUUGGCUGUAUUUCCAGGAACACGGCUCGCUAGCUGCCGGAAACCCCCGCGACUCAAGUCAGAGCAGGAUAGCACAAACAGCCGGCUACCUUCUGAAUGAGUAGCAGACGAGCGACUGAAGUCUCUGGGUUAGACUUCCUCGAGUCAAAAAGCACAUCCCUAUCAUAGUACAACAGAAGCCAUUCUUCCACUUCUGAAAUAACAUAUUGUUACACAAUGUUCUGCAGGUAGCCUAGGCUACUGUAGGUUUGGUGUAUAGAUGUAGCAUAAUAAAAUGAAAAUGAGGUCGAUUAAUCUUUGCAAAAUAAAAAAAUUUAUAUAUACAUAUUAUAUAGAUAUUAAGUAUUAUAUUGUAAGUAGGAUAUUAUUAUCUCUAUUUGGGAACUUUAUCCAUUUACACUGUUCCUACCUCAGUACUCUAUUAUUUAUUUGUUUUAUUUUGUUUUAUUUUAUUUCAUUUUAUUUUUUAUUUUACUUUUAUUUUUCCAAUCAUGUAUAUAAUGUUUUAUUGCAUUGUGCUUUUUACUACGUUAGUGGUUAAGAGACAAUGGGCUAGGACUGAGUUUCCAUGGUGAUUUGGCAAUACUGACUCAAGUGACUCGCACAACCCGGUUCAAUUUAGUGAGUGACUCACAAUGACUCGAAUCCUUAAAAGGAACCGUAUUUACCAGCUCUACUGAACACAACCUUUAAAAACUGUCCCUGGAUGCCAUGCACUUCACAGAUUUUUCUAAAUUGCCUAGCAUGACCUUAAUGUUUUCACUCUUGAGCUCAUCAUCUUUGAUACUCAAAGAAUUUUUGAAACUGUUGUCUAAUGUCUAUAAAUUAGAUGGUAUUAUAUUGUAAUUAUAUCUGAUGACAUGAUCUGCUGAAAAAAGUGUUGUAAAUGUGUUAUGAAAUGUCAUGCCUGUUACAAUCAAAGAUGUGUAAUGUUAUCAUGGAGCCAACAUUUUAUACAACUAUUGUUCAGUUUCUACUUACAUGAAUAAAUCCAGUUCUGGUUGAUGUUUUCUUAUUUUCUUUUUUAAAAUACUUUAAUAUUAUUUUAGAUUCAAAUUGCAUGUAUAUGACUUCAAUCAGUGCUAUGAUGGCCAUAAUGAUGAAUAUCUUGAGAGAAACUUAACAUUUAACAUUUUUUUUCCUGUUUUUGUUGCAGCGACCUUUAUUUAUUUUUGCUGAAAAAAGUAAGAGCAUAGUGAAAGAUGAAGAAGAUGUCAUUUUUCCACAACUGUCACAUUAUGCAAUCAGUAUAUAUUUCAUAACGAUAACCAAUCAACCAACAUUUUUUAUUUCCUUUCCCCAUUUCUGCCUAACUUUUAAUUUGUUGUUCAGGUUUUUCAAACUUGCAGACGAACAAACACACAAAACUCCAAACCUAACUUAAACGAUUAACAGAGAUUAACUUCCAGCCUUGACCAGAGUACUCACUGACCUACUAAUUAAGGUUGACUCUGACAUAACAUCAUUGUUAAGCAUCUUGACAUGAGUGCAGCUUAUCAGUGAAUUUUUGUGUGCCCCAGGGGUCCAUCCAUGGCCCCAUUCUCUUUUCUAUCUGCGCAUCAUUUUCAAUGUUCAAAUAAAGUUUUGAUUUAUUUGCACAAGAGAACAUACUAAAUUAGAGUCCUUGUUUUAGCUUUCAGGAAUUGAUUUUGUGGAAGUUGCUUUUUUCAAGUUAAGCAAGUUACAGAAUCAAAAAUAAAAUGAACAUCACAUAUAAAGCACACAGCACAGGCGACAAAAACAAGUUGACUGACUGAACACAUUAUAUACCUGUAUUAAUUCUGAAUAGUUGUGUCUGCCAUGAUAUCUCUAGCCAAACCACAUGCACCAAAAUGCUAAUAUAUGUUUUCAGAUAGGUAUCAUGAAAAUGAGAGUUUGAAUUUCAUGACAAAAAAGUGUUUUAUCCUAUUUUGGAUUAUUCCUUCAUACUUUGGUAGGUAAUUGUGUUGAAUAUAUGUUAUUUUGUUUUCAGCAACAGAAUUACUACAUAAAGAACCAACGCUCAUUCACACCUUCUUUUUUGCAAACCUAACAGACAAUCACACUGAACAAUAAGCUUCUUAGAAUGAGAUAAAAUCAAGAAAAUUUGGCUACAAGUCAGAAUCAGUUCACCAAACAUCCCCUUCAAUUCCACAUCAGUACAGUCACCAAGACAUGAUCUAAAACUUCAAAUAAAAUUAGAUUAGUCUUUUUUUAUGUACAGUAAUGCUGUAAAGAAGUGUUUGACAGCAGUGGCGUCAUUCCUGUGGGUAGUUGACCUUGGUGUUGAUUCUGACAGAAGCAGAAGGUCCUCCAAUAUUUUCAUAGUUCACCAUACCUUCAUCCUGAUGUACCUGUGAAAAACAACAACACGCCUGAGUUUGGAGAGAACAAAUAGAUAUCAUAGAUUCAUGGUAAAAUCCCCC
ensembl:lncRNA